AGCUAAAGCUACAGCUAAACAUGAUAAUAAAAAUAAUAUAAAAGAAAUGCUAGAAGAGAACCAGCGUUUGUCAGAGAUUGUACAUUGCAAACUCUGUGUCACAGGGGAACCAGAUAUUCUAUUUUUACCAUGUGCACAUCAUAAAAUAUGUCAUAAAUGUUCUGAAAAUCUCACACAUUGCCCUAUCUGUAGAAAACAAAUCAAACAAAAAGUGAAAACAUAUAGGUCUUAAAGUGAAUUGAUCUAUAAUGGAAGGUCUGUAAUACAAUAAGUGCAAUAAAUAAUUACCUCGAUAAUAUUGGAGUAUCAAACAAUAAACCACAAAUUAAGUAUAUAUGUUUGUUGUUGGCACGUGUGACAUACACGAUCCGAUAUAACAUAUCAAUAUAGAAGACAACCGAGGUUUUACGCAUGCGUAAAAUGGCUGCAAAGGAAUGGUCAGCUGUGCAGAAGAACCGAAUAACAUGCUACCUAGAAAGAUCUGGACAGUUGUUGAAAAUUAAAGGGAAAGCGUUACGACACGAAAAUUCCAUUACGUUCAUUUAAAUUUAAAAUUGUCAUGAAGUGUAAAGUUGAUAUAUGUGAAUGUUUUUAUGUACUUGUAUUUUUUACUGAGGCCUCGCAAAAUAUAUCACUUCAUUCCGCAGUUAAGCAUAUCAUGUAAGACUCGGCUGUGCAGCCGAAUAAUAAAAUGCUCUAGAACAAAAUAUUAUCAUUCAUCAUGUAAAUGCCCAUACUUAAUAACAUUUGUUCUCCUGAAAUAUCUUAUAAUAAUAACAAAAUGAUACAUUACUACUUUUUUUUAAAAUGAUACAUUACUAUUUUUUUUUAUCAAUAUCUGGAAUUCUAUUAAAUAAAAUGUGCCAAAUGUAGACAAUCUACUUUAAGAAUAAUUUUAUUAUGCUUCUUAUAUAUUUUAUCAUGACUCAGAAACCAAUUCAAUAUAUUUCUCAAUAUAACUUAAUGAGAUUUGUGCUAAUUCCCAUACUUGAGAUAAUAUUUUGUAUAUGUUUUUUGUAAAACUAAACAUGUCCGACAUAUACUUACUAGAUACGUUUAUUUUCUCUCAGACUUAAAGUAGAAACUGUUAGAUGGUCAAGAGAUAGAGUGGAUAUGAAUAAUAGAUAGUGUAGACACUGUAAUAUCAUUGAAGAUGAAUAUCAUUUUGUAAUAUGUUGCUCUAAAUAUAAUGCCCCGAGACCACAAUAUUAUAUAAAUAAACCCAGAAUUGUUGAAAUGUCAGAAUGAACAUGUUAUAUUUAAUUUAUGACUACAUUUGUAAAUUUUCAAAAUCAGAAAAUAAUGAAACAUUGUAUCAAAAGUAAUCAUAUGUCUUCUCCCAAUACAAUACAUUACUGUAUAUACAGACAUACGUUUUUACAGGAGUUUUUAUGUCCCUUUGUGUUUAUCCUCUUUUGUAAAUAGUAUUGUUCUAAAAAUGUAAAGAAAUUGCCUGUUUCAAAGCUUAUUUUGUAAAAAAAAUAGGAUAGUUUUAAAAAUGUAUAGUCUUUUUUUAAAGCUUGUUGUUGUAUAAGAAUGUUUAUUACGCAUGAAAUAGUUUGCCAUUGAUGCCAUUGAUGUCAUGUGACACAUGUAAUUGUAUAUAUUGUAAAUGUGUUGACCCAUGGACUUCUCCAGAUCCCUCCCGAGGCGUGCACGUCGCGGAGAAGGCACACGCCAGGUCAAGGCAAAGUCACCUCAAGUACCAGAGACGAUUGGUUGACCUGUCGUGACUAACUCGGGAGGGUGGCUCUAACAAGAGCCGUUUUUGUUAUGUUGCCGUCAGGAAACGCGAUGCCUAUUGUCGUAUAUCCACUCACCACCAACAAAAGAAGAAUAGGCUAUGAAAAGACGUCCCCGAUGUGACUUCUACAGUGGACCGACAUGGACGCUGAUAAUCUCGGACAUAUAGUUAAUUUCGGCGCAGAGUAUAAAUAAAACUUUAUACUAAUACUACUACUAAUUCUAAUACUACUACUAAUCAUGGACCAAUCUGGCCUACUGGCUUUGUGAGAUUUAACCAAUAAAACCAUUAAAAACUUACCAGUUUAAAAGAGAAUUGAACAAGUAAUGUUCACCAAGUUUAUGUACGGUGCCUCGCUUUGUACCUUAUCGUUGGUCAUGUGUGACUGGAUCAUAUCAUGGCUGAGUUCAGUGAAAGUCAUCUGACCUUGUUGAUGUUAUUGUAAGAAAUUCAAAUUUAAUGUUUUAGGUAUUUGAACUUCAGUGGAGUUCCUUUAAGAAAUGUCUGUUUGUUUUGUUUGUUAAAUCAUGCAAUUCCAUGAUAUACUCCACUAUAUGUUUUUUCGUUUCAUUUAUUUUCGUUCUGUUCUGAUAGAACAACAAUAAUGUCAUCUGUGAUUGUAUGUUGCAAUUAUUUAUUAUGAUAGUUCUAAAAUGUGUGAUAUUAGUAUUUUAUAUGUCUUUAUGUGUUAUAAAUUGUCUCUAUAAUAAAUAGAUAUGACUUCUGAUUAAUUA